UACGUAGGGUGCAAGCGUUGCCCGGAUUUAUUGGGCGUAAAGAGCGUGUAGGCGGCCUUGCAAGUCCGUUGUGAAAACUCGAGGCUCAACCUCGAGACGCCGGUGGAAACUGCAAAGCUAGAGUCCGGAAGAGGAGAGUGGAAUUCCUGGUGUAGCGGUGAAAUGCGCAGAUAUCAGGAGGAACACCCGUGGCGAAAGCGGCUCUCUGGGACGGUACUGACGCUGAGACGCGAAAGCGUGGGGAGCAAACAGG
rnacentral:rRNA from 1 species